GGGGACUGCGGCAGAAAGCAGCCUGUCGCAGGAGGAGAAGGGAAGGCGGGGGAGAGCAGGAGGGGGAAUCAGCUCGCCUUAAACCAGAUCAUUCCGGUUUGGAGUGGCUCUCCCCCGCAGCCCCGGGCCCCUCUUGCAGAACAGCACUGCUGUAUCACAUAGGGGCUGUGGAGGAAGGGAGGAUCCUCACCCAGUGAAGCUUUAGUGGAGAAGGUCCUAGCCCCCUGGUACCCCUGUGCUAAUUCCAUGUGGACCUGUCUCCCUCAAGGCCAGAGUUUGGUGUCCAGGGCAUCCUCUGGAGGUGCUGCCGCAGGGUGACUGCUGUGCUCAGGUUGUCCUCCACCCCAGGAUAAAGAGAUGGGAGCUGAAGGCCAUGCCUUGCUCUGUGUAUGUACUCUUGAGUACCCUGGCCAAAGCGGUCUCACCCUGUUUACCAAGAGGUUUGUUGUCAUAGCCUCGAACUUAAAAUCUCCCAACUAACGCCUUAGAGAGCGAACUCCGAUUAUAUAUCAGUGCCUUUCGAGCACUGCCUCUCCUAACUUUCCACGUUUCCCCCUGCAGUUCUUCUGGCUUCUAUCAUCGGCUUCCUCCCUUUCCAGAAGGCGCCAGAAGGAGACAAAACCAACACAGUCCAAGAGGACAGAGCACCCUUGCUGCGCACCAGGACAUCAGACUGCAGACCACGUGCUUCUACGUGUUGCACUUCCAUUUCCAGGACUGCGGAAAGAUGGCAGAGGAGCAGCGGGCACCACAACCUUCCCACACCAGGCAAUUACAGCAUCGCGUGCACUGAAGCAGACAGCAAAGUUCAGGAGGGAAUCAAGAACCAACUGCUUAAGAAAAUGCAAGAACGUGGUCCAGAGAUUUAAACAGAAACAAGCUUACAGAGAAACCGCUGCUAUGCUAGCAAGGCCCAUCACCCCAAGCAGAAGCGAAGAUAGUGAGUCCGAAGGGUGCGGGUGCUGUGCCCUACUCUACUGCCCUUCGACAUUUACACUGAGAAUCUACAGCCCCCAUGAAGAGGUCAAAGACAUACUUAAAGCCAUUAAUAAGCGCAGGGGAAGUUCAAAACUGCCUACAAAGAACUUGAUGCCAGAUACACUUAAUUUGAAAGACAAUAACAGAGGGUGAUGGUGACAGAUACACUAAAUACUGGCAGGCCAAUGCUAACCACUGGAGCAUCACAAGAUUGAAGGGAUCACAAAUCAGACGUCGUCUGAACUGCCUGCUUUCGUCAAGGUCAGGCAUCUUUAAUCUUUACACCAAGUCACGAAGCACCAGAGUCUGGCACUCAGCACAUCUCAGAAACACUAAGAACAACCUGCAGGACUACCAAGACUAGUGUUCUCGUUCUAUCCCAGACUACCAGCUGUUGUUGCUGGCUUUUUAAGCUUUGUGUUUGUUGAUGAUAUUUUAAUCUGUAGUGUUAGUUGACAUGGUCAAUAUGUUCAAAUUAAAAAAAAGGCAACGAUUCAUCUCUCUUGAUUCUUAACAUUAC
ensembl:lncRNA